GAAGGACAGUUUAAGGCAGCGGUCGCCACUGAUCGGUGGUCCCCGGGCCACUGGUGGUCCGCGAGGUCCGAAAGGCUGGCGACCGCUACUUCAGGGCACACA